GGUUGACCUCGGAUCAGGUAGGGAUACCCGCUGAACUUAAGCAUAUCAAUAAGCGGAGGAAAAGAAACCAACAGGGAUUGCCUCAGUAACGGCGAGUGAAGCGGCAAGAGCUCAAAUUUGAAAGCUGGCCCCCUCGGGGUCCGCGUUGUAAUUUGCAGAGGAUGCUUCGGGUGCAGCCCCCGUCUAAGUGCCCUGGAACGGGCCGUCAUAGAGGGUGAGAAUCCCGUCUGGGACGGGGUGUCUGCGUCCGUGUGAAGCUCCUUCGACGAGUCGAGUUGUUUGGGAAUGCAGCUCUAAAUGGGUGGUAAAUUUCAUCUAAAGCUAAAUACUGGCCGGAGACCGAUAGCGCACAAGUAGAGUGAUCGAAAGAUGAAAAGCACUUUGAAAAGAGAGUUAAACAGCACGUGAAAUUGUUGAAAGGGAAGCGUUUGCGACCAGACUCGCCCGCGGGGUUCAGCCGGCACUCGUGCCGGUGUACUUCCCCGUGGGCGGGCCAGCGUCGGUUUGGGCGGCCGGUCAAAGGCCCUCGGAAUGUAUCACCCCUCGGGGUGUCUUAUAGCCGAGGGUGCAAUGCGGCCUGCCCGGACCGAGGAACGCGCUUCGGCUCGGACGCUGGCGUAAUGGUCGUAAAUGACC
rnacentral:rRNA from 1 species